GACGAACGCUGGCGGCGUGCUUAACACAUGCAAGUCGAACGGAAAGGCCCUGCUUUUGUGGGGUGCUCGAGUGGCGAACGGGUGAGUAACACGUGAGUAACCUGCCCUUGACUUUGGGAUAACUUCAGGAAACUGGGGCUAAUACCGGAUAGGAGCUCCUGCUGCAUGGUGGGGGUUGGAAAGUUUCGGCGGUUGGGGAUGGACUCGCGGCUUAUCAGCUUGUUGGUGGGGUAGUGGCUUACCAAGGCUUUGACGGGUAGCCGGCCUGAGAGGGUGACCGGCCACAUUGGAACUGAGAUACGGCCCAGACUCCUACGGGAGGCAGCAGUGGGGAAUAUUGCACAAUGGGCGGAAGCCUGAUGCAGCAACGCCGCGUGCGGGAUGACGGCCUUCGGGUUGUAAACCGCUUUCGCCUGUGACGAAGCGUGAGUGACGGUAAUGGGGAAAGAAGCACCGGCUAACUACGG
rnacentral:rRNA from 1 species